UACGUAGGCAGCAAGCGUUGUUCGGAGUUACUGGGCGUAAAGGGUGCGUAGGCGGCUCUAUAAGUAUGGUGUGAAAUCUCCCGGCUUAACUGGGAGGGUGCGCUAUAGACUGUGGGGCUAGAGUGUGGGAGAGGAAAGUGGAAUUCCUGGUGUAGCGGUGAAAAUGCGUAGAUAUCAGGAGGAACACCGGUGGUGUAAACGGCUUUCUGGACCAUAACUGACGCUGAGGCACGAAAAGCGUGGGUAGCAAACAGG
rnacentral:rRNA from 1 species